rnacentral:antisense_RNA from 1 species
CUUGACGGUGCCCAGCCAGAGCGGGCGCCGCGGAUCGCGGUCCUGCCCGUAGGUGGCCAGCAGCGCGCCUGCUUC